CAAAAAAAAUACAGGGAUUUAAGGACCCAGGCAGAACUAGGAAAGUUCCAUCUACUUGGGUAUACCGCUGGAAGAUAAAGUUGUUCUUGGCAUUGAACUUCAGGUUAUCCUCUUAAGUUUAUUUGGUAAGCAUCAUAUUCUCUUGCCCUAAUGAGCUCAUGGUUAUUUCAACACAUGGCCCUGUAUUGGAAAUGGGGAAGA
rnacentral:lncRNA from 1 species